GAUGAAGAACGUAGCGAAAUGCGAUAAGUAAUGUGAAUUGCAGAAUUCAGUGAAUCAUCGAAUCUUUGAACGCACAUUGCGCCCGCCAGAAUGCUGGCGGGCAUGCCUGUUCGAGCGUCAUUUCAACCCUCGAGCCCCCCCGGGGGCCUCGGUGUUGGGGGACGGCACACCAGCCGCCCCCGAAAUGCAGUGGCGACCCCGCCGCAGCCUCCCCUGCGUAGUAGCACACACCUCGCACCGGAGCGCGGAGGCGGUCACGCCGUAAAACGCCCAACUUUCUUAGAGUUGACCUCGGAUCAGGUAGGUAUACCCGCUGAACUUAAGCAUAUCAAUAAGCGGGGA
rnacentral:misc_RNA from 1 species